AGUAAGAGCCGAUGAAGGACGUGGUAAGCUGCGAUAAGCCUAGAUAAGUUGCAAUCGAACGUAAGAGUCUAGGAUUUCCGAAUGGAGCAAUCUAUUAAGAUGGAGUCUUAAUACGAAAGAGGGAACCGCGUGAACUGAAACAUCUAAGUAACGCGAGGAAAAGAAAGUAAAAACGAUACCCAAAGUAGCGGCGAGCGAACUGGGUCAAGCCUAAACCUUAAAUAUGUCAAGGAUACAGCCGUUGUAUUUAAGGGGUUGAGGGACAGAGUGAUGAAGAACUGUAAGAUAUUCAAUAUAGUGUAUUGAUGAAUUAGAAUUGUCUGGAAAGGUGAACCGCAGAAGGUGAAAGUCCUGUAUAAGUAAAUCCUUACACAUAUAACUUUGCUCCCAAGUAACAUGGAACACGAGGAAUUCUGUGUGAAUCAGUGAGGACCAUAUCUCAUAAGGCUAAAUACUCUUACUAACCGAUAGCGCAUAGUACCGUGAGGGAAAGGUGAAAAGAACCCCUGGAGGGGAGUGAAAUAGAACCUGAAAUUGUGUGCUUACAAGCGGUCAGAGCCCAUUAGGGUGAUGGCGUGCCUUUUGGAGAAUGAUCCUGCGAGUUACGUUAAACGGCGAGGUUAAGUAUAACGGAGCCGAAGGGAAACCAAGUCUUAAUAGGGCGAUUUAGUCGUUUGGCGUAGACGCGAAACCUGGUGAUCUAAACCUGUCCAGGAUGAAGCUGUGGUAAGACACAGUGGAGGUCCUAACCCACCGCCGUUGAAAAGUUGGGGGAUGAGGUAGGUUUAGGGGUGAAAAGCCAAUCGAACCAGGAGAUAGCUCGUUCUCUCCGAAAUGCAUCUAGGUGCAGCCUUGAGUGUUCAAUUAUGGGGGUAGAGCACUGAAUGAUCUAGGGGGCAUAUUGCUUACUGAAAUCAAUCAAACUCCGAAUACCAUAAUUUAUAGCUCAGGAGUGAGACUAUGGGAGUUAACUUCCAUUGUCAAAAGGGAAACAACCCAGACCACCAGCUAAGGUCCCUAAUUAUAACUAAGUGGGAAAGGAGGUGGAGAUUCACAAACAACUAGGAGGUUGGCUUAGAAGCAGCCAUACCUUUAAAGAGUGCGUAAUAGCUCACUAGUCGAGAGUCUCUGCGCCGACAAUGUAACGGGGCUAAGUUAUAAACCGAAGCUGUGGAAUCCGUAAGGAUUGGUAGGAGAGCGUUCUGUAGGCCGUUGAAGGAGAAGGGUAACCGACUUUGGAGGUAUCAGAAGUGAGAAUGCAGGAAUAAGUAGCGAGAAAGGGGGCGAGAAUCCCCCUCGCCGGAAGACCAAGGUUUUCAGGGUAAAGCUUGUCUUCCCUGAGUAAGCCGGGACCUAAGCCCAGGCUAUAAUGCGUAGGCGAAUGGAAAACAGAUUAAUAUUUCUGUGCCAGUCAUUUAUUGUGAUGGAGGGACGCAGAAGGGUAUGCGCGCGGACGAACGGAAGUGUCCGUAGAAGUAUGUAGGAUGACUUAGUAGGAAAAUCCAUUAAGUUAUAUCUGAGGUAUGAUAUAUAGUCGUAAGAUGAAUGCGCAAAUCCCACGCUGCCAAGAAAAGCUUCUAACGUUAAUAUAUGACUGCCCGUACUGUAAACCGACACAGGUGGUCAGGAUGAGAAAUCUAAGGCGGACAGGCUAACUCUCGUUAAGGAACUCUGCAAAAUAACCUCGUAACUUCGGGAGAAGAGGAGCCCUUGGGUGUUAGUAUCCAUGCGAUACAAAGCGCUCGAGGGUCGCAGUGAAGAGGCUCAAGCAACUGUUUAACAAAAACACAGGUCUAUGCUAAGCUGGAAGGCGAUGUAUAUGGGCUGACACCUGCCCAGUGCUGGAAGGUUAAGAGGAGGAGUGAGAGCUCCGAAUUGAAGCCCCAGUGAACGGCGGCCGUAACUAUAACGGUCCUAAGGUAGCGAAAUUCCUUGUCGGGUAAGUUCCGACCUGCACGAAUGGUGUAAUGAUUUGAGCGCUGUCUUGACGGGAGGCCUGGUGAAAUUGUAUUACCGGUGAAGAUACCGGUUACCUACAGUAGGACGGAAAGACCCCAUGGAGCUUUACUGUAGCUUGGUAUUGGGUUUUGGCAUUGCAUGUAUAGGAUAGUUGGGAGACUGAGAUGAUAUGGCGCUAGCUGUAUCGGAGUCAUCGGUGGAAUACCAACCAUUCAAUGCUGAAAUUCUAAUCUGUGGUUUGUAGCCACGGAGACAGUGCUAGGUGGGCAGUUUGACUGGGGCGGUCGCCUCCGAAAGAGUAACGGAGGCGUUCAAAGGUUCUCUCAGGUUGGAUGGAAAUCAACCAUAGAGUGCAAUGGCAUAAGAGAGCUUGACUGCAAGACUGACGGGUCGAGCAGAUGCGAAAGCAGGACAUAGUGAUCCGGCGAUUCCGAAUGGAAGGGUCGUCGCUCAACGGAUAAAAGCUACCCUGGGGAUAACAGGCUGAUCCUACCCGAGAGUCCAUAUCGACGGUAGGGUUUGGCACCUCGAUGUCGGCUCAUCGCAUCCUGGGGCUGGAGAAGGUCCCAAGGGUUGGGCUGUUCGCCCAUUAAAGCGGUACGUGAGCUGGGUUCAGAACGUCGUGAGACAGUUCGGUCCCUAUCCACUGUAGGCGUUAGAAUAUUGAGAAGACCUGUCCUUAGUACGAGAGGACCGGGAUGGACAAACCUCUGAUGUACCAGUUGUCACGCCAGUGGCACAGCUGGGUAGUCACGUUUGGAAUAGAUAACCGCUGAAAGCAUCUAAGCGGGAAACUAACUUCAAGAUAAGUAUUCU
rnacentral:rRNA from 1 species